rnacentral:rRNA from 1 species
AGAGUUUGAUCCUGGCUCAGAUUAAACGCUAGCGGGAUGCUUUACACAUGCAAGUCGAACGGCAGCACGAGAGAGCUUGCUCUCUUGGUGGCGAGUGGCGGACGGGUGAGUAAUAUAUCGGAACGUGCCCAGUAGCGGGGGAUAACUACUCGAAAGAGUGGCUAAUACCGCAUACGCCCUACGGGGGAAAGGGGGGGAUCGCAAGACCUCUCACUAUUGGAGCGGCCGAUAUCGGAUUAGCUAGUUGGUGGGGUAAAGGCUCACCAAGGCAACGAUCCGUAGCCGGUUUGAGAGGACGACCAGCCACACUGGGACUGAGACACGGCCCAGACUCCUACGGGAGGCAGCAGUGGGGAAUUUUGGACAAUGGGGGAAACCCUGAUCCAGCCAUCCCGCGUGUAUGAUGAAGGCCUUCGGGUUGUAAAGUACUUUUGGCAGAGAAGAAAAGGCAUCCCCUAAUACGGGAUGCUGCUGACGGUAUCUGCAGAAUAAGCACCGGCUAACUACGUGCCAGCAGCCGCGGUAAUACGUAGGGUGCAAGCGUUAAUCGGAAUUACUGGGCGUAAAGCGUGUGUAGGCGGUUCGGAAAGAAAGGUGUGAAAUCCCAGGGCUCAACCUUGGAACUGCAUUUUUAACUGCCGAGCUAGAGUAUGUCAGAGGGGGGUAGAAUUCCACGUGUAGCAGUGAAAUGCGUAGAUAUGUGGAGGAAUACCGAUGGCGAAGGCAGCCCCCUGGGAUAAUACUGACGCUCAGACACGAAAGCGUGGGGAGCAAACAGGAUUAGAUACCCUGGUAGUCCACGCCCUAAACGAUGUCAACUAGCUGUUGGGGCCGUUAGGCCUUAGUAGCGCAGCUAACGCGUGAAGUUGACCGCCUGGGGAGUACGGUCGCAAGAUUAAAACUCAAAGGAAUUGACGGGGACCCGCACAAGCGGUGGAUGAUGUGGAUUAAUUCGAUGCAACGCGAAAAACCUUACCUACCCUUGACAUGUCUGGAAAGCCGAAGAGAUUUGGCCGUGCUCGCAAGAGAACCGGAACACAGGUGCUGCAUGGCUGUCGUCAGCUCGUGUCGUGAGAUGUUGGGUUAAGUCCCGCAACGAGCGCAACCCUUGUCAUUAGUUGCUACGCAAGAGCACUCUAAUGAGACUGCCGGUGACAAACCGGAGGAAGGUGGGGAUGACGUCAAGUCCUCAUGGCCCUUAUGGGUAGGGCUUCACACGUCAUACAAUGGUCGGGACAGAGGGUCGCCAACCCGCGAGGGGGAGCCAAUCUCAGAAACCCGAUCGUAGUCCGGAUCGCAGUCUGCAACUCGACUGCGUGAAGUCGGAAUCGCUAGUAAUCGCGGAUCAGAAUGUCGCGGUGAAUACGUUCCCGGGUCUUGUACACACCGCCCGUCACACCAUGGGAGUGGGUUUCACCAGAAGUAGGUAGCCUAACCGCAAGGAGGGCGCUUACCACGGUGGGAUUCAUGACUGGGGUGAAGUCGUAACAAGGUAACCGU